rnacentral:rRNA from 1 species
AGUUUGAUCCUGGCUCAGGACGAACGCUGGCGGCGUGCUUAACACAUGCAAGUCGAACGAUGAUGCCCAGCUUGCUGGGUGGAUUAGUGGCGAACGGGUGAGUAACACGUGAGUAACCUGCCCCUGACUCUGGGAUAAGCGUUGGAAACGACGUCUAAUACUGGAUAUGAUCACUGGCCGCAUGGUCUGGUGGUGGAAAGAUUUUUUGGUUGGGGAUGGACUCGCGGCCUAUCAGCUUGUUGGUGAGGUAAUGGCUCACCAAGGCGACGACGGGUAGCCGGCCUGAGAGGGUGACCGGCCACACUGGGACUGAGACACGGCCCAGACUCCUACGGGAGGCAGCAGUGGGGAAUAUUGCACAAUGGGCGAAAGCCUGAUGCAGCAACGCCGCGUGAGGGAUGACGGCCUUCGGGUUGUAAACCUCUUUUAGUAGGGAAGAAGCGAAAGUGACGGUACCUGCAGAAAAAGCACCGGCUAACUACGUGCCAGCAGCCGCGGUAAUACGUAGGGUGCAAGCGUUGUCCGGAAUUAUUGGGCGUAAAGAGCUCGUAGGCGGUUUGUCGCGUCUGCUGUGAAAUCCCGAGGCUCAACCUCGGGCUUGCAGUGGGUACGGGCAGACUAGAGUGCGGUAGGGGAGAUUGGAAUUCCUGGUGUAGCGGUGGAAUGCGCAGAUAUCAGGAGGAACACCGAUGGCGAAGGCAGAUCUCUGGGCCGUAACUGACGCUGAGGAGCGAAAGCAUGGGGAGCGAACAGGAUUAGAUACCCUGGUAGUCCAUGCCGUAAACGUUGGGCGCUAGAUGUAGGGACCUUUCCACGGUUUCUGUGUCGUAGCUAACGCAUUAAGCGCCCCGCCUGGGGAGUACGGCCGCAAGGCUAAAACUCAAAGGAAUUGACGGGGGCCCGCACAAGCGGCGGAGCAUGCGGAUUAAUUCGAUGCAACGCGAAGAACCUUACCAAGGCUUGACAUACACCGGAAACGGCCAGAGAUGGUCGCCCCCUUGUGGUCGGUGUACAGGUGGUGCAUGGUUGUCGUCAGCUCGUGUCGUGAGAUGUUGGGUUAAGUCCCGCAACGAGCGCAACCCUCGUUCUAUGUUGCCAGCGGGUUAUGCCGGGGACUCAUAGGAGACUGCCGGGGUCAACUCGGAGGAAGGUGGGGAUGACGUCAAAUCAUCAUGCCCCUUAUGUCUUGGGCUUCACGCAUGCUACAAUGGCCGGUACAAAGGGCUGCGAUACCGUAAGGUGGAGCGAAUCCCAAAAAGCCGGUCUCAGUUCGGAUUGAGGUCUGCAACUCGACCUCAUGAAGUCGGAGUCGCUAGUAAUCGCAGAUCAGCAACGCUGCGGUGAAUACGUUCCCGGGCCUUGUACACACCGCCCGUCAAGUCAUGAAAGUCGGUAACACCCGAAGCCGGUGGCCUAACCCUUGUGGAAGGAGCCGUCGAAGGUGGGAUCGGUGAUUAGGACUAAGUCGUAACAAGGUAGCCGUACCGGAAGGUGCGGCUGGAUCACCUCCUU